GGUGGUGUGGCUCAAUGGCAGAGCACUUACCUAACAUAUAGAAAGGCCUGGGUUCAAUCCCCAGGACCCCCC
rnacentral:tRNA from 1 species